rnacentral:rRNA from 1 species
UAGGGAAUCUUCGGCAAUGGACGAAAGUCUGACCGAGCAACGCCGCGUGAAUGAUGAAGGCCUUCGGGUUGUAAAAUUCUGUUAUAAGGGAAGAAAGACACGAGUAGGAAAUGGCUCGUGAGUGACGGUACCUUAUGAGAAAGCCACGGCUAACUACGUGCCAGCAGCCGCGGUAAUACGGAGGGGACAAGCGUUGUUCGGAGUGACUGGGCGUAAAGAGCACGUAGGCGGUGAUGUAAGUCAUUAGUCAAAGGCGGCAGCUUAACUGUCGUAAGGCUAGUGAUACUAUGUUACUAGAGUGCCGGAGAGGAUUGCAGAAUUCCUGGUGUAGCGGUGAAAUGCGUAGAUAUCAGGAGGAAUACCUGUUGCGAAGGCGGCAAUCUGGUCGGUAACUGACGCUGAGGUGCGAAAGCGUGGGGAGCAAACA